GUGGGGAAUUUUGCGCAAUGGGGGAAACCCUGACGCAGCGACGCCGCGUGGGGGAAGAAGGCCUUCGGGUUGUAAACUCCUUUUGUAGGGGACAACAUAAGGAUGGUACCCUGCGAAUAAGCCACGGCUAACUCUGUGCCAGCAGCCGCGGUAAGACAGAGGUGGCAAGCGUUGUUCGGAAUUACUGGGCUUAAAGGGCGCGUAGGCGGUCAUGCAAGUCUAGGGUGGAAGCCUGAGGCUUAACCUCAGAACUGCCCUGGAAACUGUGUGACUUGAGUGAGCGAGGGGAGGGCGGAAUUCCCGGUGUAGUGGUGAAAUGCGUAGAUAUCGGGGGGAAGGCCAGUGGCGAAGGCGGCCCUCUGGCGCUCAACUGACGCUGAGGCGCGAAAGCGUGGGGAGCAAACAGGAUUAGAUACCCUUGUAGU
rnacentral:rRNA from 1 species